rnacentral:lncRNA from 1 species
UUCCCAUGACUUAUCAAUUUCAUAACUGUAAGUCUGUCCUAGUCCCCUUCACCCAUUUUGCUCAACCUCUUUCCCUCUGGGCAAUCAAUUCUCUGUAUUUAGAGGUCAAAUUCUGCCUUUUUGUUUGUUUUUUCAUUUGUUUUGUUUUUUAGAUUCUACAUAUGAGUGAAAUAAUAUGGUAUUUGUCUUUCUCUGUCUGACUUACUUCACUUAGCAUAAUAUCCUCUAGGUCAAUCUAUGUUGUCUCAAAUGGCAAGAUCUCAUCCUUUUUUUAUGACUGUGUAAUAGUCCAUUGUAUAUGUGUGUGGGUAUGUAUGUAUAUACAUGUUUAUGUAUGCCACAUCUUCUUUAUCUGUUUAUCUAUUGAUGGACACUUAGGUUGCUUCCAUAUCUUGGCUAUUGUAAAUAAUGCUGCAAUGAAAUAGGGGUGCAUAUAUCUUUUCAAAUCAGUGUUUUCAUUUCUUUGGGUAAGUACUCUGUAAUAGAAUUAUUGGAUCAUAUAUUAUUUUUAUUUUUAUUUUUAUUUUUUUGAGGAACCUCCACACUGUUUCCACAGUAGCUGUACCACUUUAGAUUCCCACCAACAGUCCACAAGAGUUCCUUUUUCUCCACAUCCUCACCAACACUUACUAUUUCUUGUCUUUUUUAUUUUAGCCAUUCUAACAGGUAUAAGGUGCUAUCUCUAAGUUGAUUUUUUUAAAUGUUUAUUUUUGAGAGAGAGAGAGAGAGAGAGCACAAUAGGGGGAGGAGCACAGAGAGAGGGAGACUGAUGAUCUGAGGCGGGCUCCAUGCUGACAACAGACAGCCUGAUGUGGGACUUGAGUUCACAAACUGUGAGAUCAAGACAUGAACCAAAGCCAGUGGCUUAACAAACUGAGCCACCCAGGCACCCCUCUAAAUUGAUUUUUGUAUGUUAAUCUUGUGUCCUGCAACCUUGAUGACCUUGUUUAUUAGCUCUUAUGAUUUUGGAGUGCUUAUUUUAAGGCGGUCAGUUAAAGCUUCUCUAUGGUCCAGUGAAAUUGGGAUUUAAAAUACCCACAAUAUUUACCCAUUAGAACCAUUGUUAUACUAAGAAAGCUAUCAGAGCUAUCAGCACAGAGCCCCAUGUGGGGCUCAAACUCACAAACUGUGAGAUCAUGACCCGAGCUGAAGUCAGACGCUUUACCAACUGAGCCACCCAGGUGCCCCAGAAAGCACAAUCUUAAUAAGAUGGUGAUGAUAAGAUAAACAGUAGCUAGAAAAGUCAUGUGGUCCAGAUGAUUUAUUUUUAUUAUGGGCCUAACUAACAUGAGCAUGUUUAUAGGCUGAAGAGAAGGAACAAGUGGGAAGAAAGAGAUUGAUAUUUGAGCAAAAAGAAAAUGGCUGGGGUGCCUGGGUGGCUUGGUCAGUCAAGCAUCUGACUUUUGAUUUCAGCUCAGGUCAUGAUCUCAUGGUUGUGGGGUUGAGCCCCGCAUCAGGCUCUGUGCUGAGAGCAUGGAGCCUGUUUGGGAUUCUCUCUCUUUCUUUCUCUGUCCCUUUCCCACUUGCGUGAUCUCUCUCUCUCUCUCUCUCUCCCUCCCUCUCAAAAUAAAUAAAUAAACUUAAAAAAAAAGAAGAUGGCCGAUAAAGUGUCAAAGGAGUCAGAAGGGGGUGAGUUAAGUGUAGGCACUGACUUUAGAUACCUUAAGGUUUACCUUAUGUUCUUAGAUGUUGAGAAAGGAGUCAAGGGUACAGAUAUGAAUGAGAAUGUGAGCUCAAAUGUACAUUAAAACUGCUGACUAAAAGCAAGAAGGUGAUGGAGAGUAAGCUUGAUGAUUUCAGUUUCUUCAUGACAUAGGAGCCUUGGUGAUCUGCUGAGGGGAGGAGUUUUGGGGAGAAUGGCAAAGGUUUGGAAUAAUUGUUGGGGAGGUUGAAGAGCAGUCUGACCAAGAGCAAACCAAAGGGUCAAUAGUUGUUGCUAAGGGACAUGUGCAUAUAUAAAGAGACAUAUAAGUAAUAAUGCUGCACAAUCUUGGGCUAGAGAUUUACCAUACAGUUGCUGUAGCAUGGAAAGUAUAUUAACAAAAAAGUGUUAAAGAUGCUGGUAAAGAAUAAUGGAGACAACUAGUCAUGUUAUCACAGACUAGGUUGGCAAGGGAGCUUUAGAAGGUCCCCACAGAGUAUGAAAAAAUUAUGGUGUUAAAGAACUGGAGGUCCUUACAGUCAAAAAGUAGGUUUAGUGGAAAUAAAGGUACAAGAAAAGUAGAAAGAUAAGAUGUUAAGACCCAUAGUAGAAUAAUGGAAUUCAGAAUUUCUGAUGUGGUACAGCUAGUAAGAUUCCAGAUGUGACUUGGCCAAUUAUAAUAGAAGUGACAGCCACUGGAAUUGUGGAGGUCCAAGUCCGUGUUUCUGGAUGGCUCAUUUACAUGAACCUUGAUAUCACCCAGAAUUAUGAUAGUAACUGGGGUAGAGAGAAAGAUCCAGGUCCUGUCAUUGUCAAUUAAUGAAGAGUGGUAACUGGGAAGUUGGUAGAUGUCAUUAACAAAGUGAGGCAGAGGUUGGUAUACCUGAAUGACCCAACCUUAUAGAUUCAGAUUUACCCAACAUACCUGAGGCAUACAACAUUCCUAUUAAUAAGAGUGACACACUCUGGAAUGGUUCUUAAGGUGAGGGAACAUCAUAAGAGAAUGUUUGGGGGUGACAUAGGGGGAUAGUCCAUAUCUAUGCUAGAAAAACUUAGUUUGAUAACUCUGAUUAUACCCUCUUAAAAAGUGUUAAUUCCCACUGUCCCUCUCUUCCUAGAGAGAACUGCUCUUUUACGGAUGGGUACAGAAAUUCAGGGAGAGUUCCUGAGGAGCAUGUAGCUUCUAUCCCAUCCAUAAUCCUGCUUGCUACUGAAGACUAUAUAAAGACAUGAAUCUAGAUUUCUGACAGAUCUUUUCAAGGAAAAAUGCACAUAAUUUUCAUAAUUACACUCAACUUGAUACAAAAGAGCCUAAAUUCAUAUAUUUGCUUUUUAUAACUGAGAUGUUACUUAUAGUGAAGUGAACAGAUCUUAACUGUUGGUGAAUUUCUACAAUUGCAUAAGCCCUCAAGCUACAGAAUAUUUUCAUUACACCAGAAAGUUCUCUGGUGACCCUUCCCGCUCAAUUCCUGCCCUUCUUGAGGCAACUGUAAUCCUGAUUUCUAGCAUCAAAGGUUAGUUUUGCCUGUUUUAGGACUUUAUAUUAAUGGAAACACAGCAGGUACUCUUUGGUGUCUUUUUUUUUUCUGCUUAGCCUAGCAAGGUUUAAAGUUAGAAUUUGGGGAUUAAAGUAAGUCAUUUUAAUGGAAAAUUCUCAUUAGUACUAAGGUGGCUAAAUUCAGACCAGAACAAAGGUAGGUGUCUGAAAGAUCUCUGGUGUGUUUCCACCUCCUGUAUAGUUUGCCAAGAAAGCCUAAGACAAAUUUUAGUUAAGCAUUACGGGAACUAUCUUGUGGCCAAAGCCCAGUAGGCUUUGUGGCCCCAUCACCUGAACUCCCCAUUCCUGAACUCUUUAUUGUCUCUGAAAUGUAUCAGAGGAAACAGUUCCUUUCUGUACCUUCUGAGAGGGAUAAUAAACCUGCUAUGUGCUUGGUAGGAUGGUACUGUUCCUGCCUCAGGGCAUAAAAAGAAAACCCUAGAAUAUAUUCUCCAAUGUAAAAAUGAAAUUCCAGCUUAAACAUGGUAUCCUGGAAUAGAUUUCUUAACAUCUGUCUUAAUAGAAACCAAAGUCUGAGCAAGUAUCUUUCCCUUCCUUAAAACUCUGCUUAUGUAUGUGGUGAUGCUAUGGAUGAAAUGUUUGUGUCCCCUCCAAAUUCAUCUGUUGGAGCUCUAACCCCCAGUGGGGUGAUAUUUAGAGGUGAGGCCUUUUGGAGGUAAGUAGGUUGGAUGAGAUCAUGAGAGUGGGGUCCUCAUGAUGAGAUUAGUGCAUUUAUGAGAAGAGACCCAGAGAGUAGUCUUUUUCCCACUCUCUCCCUCUCCCUCUCUUCUUCAUCUCUCUCUAUAUCUCUCCCUCAAUAUUUCUCCCUCCUUCUGUCUCUCAGUAUACUGCCCCUGCCCGCCAUCUUCCUCCCUCUCUCCUUCCCAAGAGAAGACUUAGAAUGAAGUUAUCUUCUUGGCAUCUUGAUCUUGGACUUCCAGUCUCCAGAACUUUGAGAAAUCCAUUUCUAUUGUUUAAGCCACCCAGUCUGUGGUAUUGUGUUCUGGCAGCCCACGCUGAUUAAGAUAGGAGGUAAAAUUUGUUAAGCACUAACUACGUGUGGGACCCUCUGUCACAUGUAAUCUUUGAAACAAAACUAGAAGGUAGGUACUAGCAUCUCCAUUUUGCCAGGAAGGAAGAUAAAGCUCAGCAUCACACAGCUGGUAAGUGAUGACAGAUAUCAGCGAAUCACCCUCUGCUCCAAGGAAGUUGUGCCCAUUUAUUUUCUCACUACAACCCUCAUACACUUACUAAUCUUCAUAAAUAACCCCCAGCCCUUUAAAAAAUUCCUGAUGGGUCUGUCUCACCAUAAGGUCUUGAUAUCAUUGCUUCCUUUUUUGAGCUAAUGGUUGAGAAUGGUGACAGCUUCUGCAACCAAUGAAAUAUUGGCUUUGAUGCUUCCGUAUCAGCAUAUACUCAUCUACAGGAGGAUUCUUAAGGAAACAGAAGGGGGCUGGGUACUUGUACAGACAGGCAAUGGUGCCUUGGCAAGGGAAGGCACCAUGGGCAACAUUUAGGGAGGCAGCUGGAGGGAGGGAUAUUCUGGUUUUGUCUUGUCUUAAUUGCCACAUUGUUCUAAGGGGGUCUUGGAUCAGAGAUGAGAUUAGGGGAGCUGAGACUGCUUUGGGAUUGAGUGGUAUGUCCCUAAUACAACAUACAUUUUGACUGAAGUCUGCUUACUAGGUGAGGAACUUAGGAGCAGAGUCCCACAAAAUAGGGGCCUCAAAACACAAAACAAAUAAAAAUACAACUGAAGGAAUACACAAGGAUGUAUCAUCUCUUCCCUAUUGCUUUCUCAAUAUGGAAAGUAGUGGCAUUGGCCUGAGUCAGUAGGAUAAUGUCAUGAUGGUGAAGGCCGUCUUGGAUGGGUAGUCUUUACUAAGAUAGGUUCAUAUCAAUGUUACACAGCUGGGAAGAGGCUGAACUAGUAUUUGAACCUAGUCUCUUUCUCUCCCUUUCAGAUUUAUUGAGUUAUAAUUGACAUAAAAUUGUAAGGUAUUUAAAGUGUACACUGCGAUGAUUUGACAUAUGUAUAUACAUUUUAAAAAGAUUUCUCCCAUCUAGUUAAUUAGCACAUCCAUCACCUCACAUAUUUUUAUGUGUAAUAUAUAUUGUAAUGUUAUAUAUAUAUUUUAUACAUAUAUAUACAUAUAUAUAUAUAUAUAUACAUAUGUAUGGUGAGAACACUUAAGUUCUACCCUCUUAGCAAAUUUUAAUUAUAAAACAAAUAUAUAGUGUUACUAACUAUAGUCACUAUGUUAUACAUUAGAUCCUUACUCAUUUUAUAGCUGAAAGUUUGUACCCAUUUACUAGCCUCUCCCUAUUCCUUCCCCCCACCCCUGCUCACCCCCAGUCCUGGCAACCGCUUUUCUACUUUCUGUUUCUACGAGUUUGGUUUUCUUUUUAGCUUCCACAUAUAAGUGAUGCCAUGUGGUAUUUGUCUUUCUGUGUCUAACUUAAUUCACUUAGCAUUAUGCCAUCCAUGUUGCUGUCAAUGGCAGAAUUUCCUUCUUUCUCAUGGCUGAAUAAUACUCCCUUGAAUAUAUAUCCCGUAUCUUCUUUAUCCAUCUGUUGAUGAACACUUAGGUUGUUUCCAUAUCUUUGCUAUUGUGAAUAAUGCUGCCAUGAACACGAGAAUGCACCUAUCUCUUAUAUAUCCUUUUUUCAUUUCCUUUGGAUAUGUACCCUGAAGUAGGAUUGCUGGAUCAUAUAGUAAUUCUAUUUUUAAUUUUUUGAGGAUUCUCCAUGCUGUUAUCCACAGUAGCUGCACCAAUUUAUAUUCCUACCAAUGGUGUUAAAUGUUUCCCUUCUCCCCACAUCCUUGCCAAUGCUUGUUAGCUCUUUUCUUUUUGAGGAGAGCCAUUCCAACAGGUGUGAGGUGAUUUAUUGUGGCUUUAAUUUGUAUUUACCCAAUGAUGAGUGAUGUUGAGCACCUUUUCAUGUAUCUGUUGGCCAUUUGUAUGUCUUCUUUGGAAAAAUAUUCACUUCUGCCUAUUUUAAAAUCGAAGUGUUUGUUUUUUGCUAUUGAGUUGUGUGAUUUCUUUAUAUAUUUUGAAUAUUAACACUUUGUCAUAUAUAUGAUUUACAAAUUGCCUUUUUAGUUUUAGUUUUUAAAAUUGUUUUUAAUGUUUAUUUAUUUUUGCAAGAAGGACAGAGAGUGUGAGCAGGGGAAGGGCAGAGAGAGGGAGACACAGAAUCUGAAGCAGGCUCCAGGCUCUGAGGUGUCAGCACAGAGCCCAAUGCGGGGCUCGAACUCACAAACUGUGAGAUCAUGACCUGAGCUGAGGUCGGACGCUUAAUCGACUGAGCCACCCAGGUGCCCCUGCCUUUUUAGUUUUUGAUUAUUUCUUUUGCUGUGCAGAAGCUUUUUCAUUUGGUGUAGUGCCACUUGCUUGUUUUUGCCUUUGUUACGUUUGCUUUUGGUGUCAAAUCCAAAAGAUCACUGCCAAUAUUAACAUCAAGGAGCUUACCACUGAUGUUUUCUUCUAGGAGUUUUAUGGUUUCAGAUCUUAAAUUUAAGACCUUAAUCCAUUUGAGUUGGUUUUUGUAUAUGGUAUAAGAUAGGGAUCCAGUAUCAUUCUUUUGCAUGAGGUUGUCCAGUUUUUUCAAUUACCAUUUGUUGAAGAGACUAUCCCUUCCUUACUGUAUAUCUUGGCUCCUUUGUUGUAAAUUAACAUUUUUUAAAAAGUUUAUUUAUUUCUGAGAGAGGCAGAGCAUGAGCGGGGGAGGGGCAGAGAGCCAGGGAGACACAGAAUCUGAAGCAGGCUCCAGGCUCUGAGCUGUCAGCACAGAGCCCGACGCGGGGCUCAAACUCACAAACUGACAUCAUGACCUGAGCUGAAGUUGGACACUUAACCGACUGAGUCACCCAGGUGCCCCUCCUUUGUUGUAAAUUAAAUGACCUUACUGUAGAUAGGAGUUUAUUUUUGGAUUCUUUGUUCUGUUGAUCUAUGUGCCCAUUUUCAUGCCAAUACUAUCCUAUUUUGAUUACUAUAGCUUCAUAAUAUAUUUUGAAACUAGGAAAUAUGAAGCUGAAUCUGGUUUCUUUCAUUAUAAUAACUAUAUUCUUUCUACUAUGUAAUUUUUCUGCUUUACCCUAAGGGGUUUCCUACUGCCCUGUUACAUUGGCCCCAGUUGGUAUAUAGGUAAUUUUCUUAAUUUCCCACAGCACAGCUGGGAAAUAUUUUUUAAAACAGUUGAUUUAUUCAGAUUUUCUAUUCCGUCUUAGGUCAAAUUUAAUCACUUGUAUUACAGGAAAUGUAUUCAUUUCUUCUAGGUUUUCCAGCGGAUUAGUAUAAAAUUGUUAUAUUCUUGUAAUUUCCUUUUAUCUUUUACAUAUGUAAAACUCAUUCCUAAUUUUUUUUUUUGUGGCUUCUCUUUUUCCCUUGAUUAAUCUUGUGAAAGGUUUUUAUUAUAUUCAAUUAACAAUGAAAAAGAAAAAAAUAGGGGGAGUUUGGGGAGUUGACAAAUGCCACCUAUUUGAUAAAUAUUUUUAUGAACUCUCUGCCAUGUACUGAUCCUAGUUAAAUGCUGCUGAUAGGUGGGGAGACCAUAUGCCCCAAUCUAUGCCUAUUUCAGGUAUAAAAAUUAAUAUAACUCCCUUUUACUCUCAACAGUAAUUUGGGCCAAAUUAAAGUUGACAUGUACAGUGGUGGCUUUAAGAUAAAUUUUGGUGGAGUUUUGAAGAUGGAACCCUGGUUGGAAGGACUUACAAAAAUGGAGGCAAACAUCUGGAGACAAUAAGAGAUGAUUAUUUUGAAGAGUUUUGCUAUAGGAAAGGGAAGAAAUGAGGUAGGAAGCAGAGGAAAUGGAGUUGUUUGCUAUUUUACCUGUUUCUGCCUUUAUUAUUUUUAUUUCUUCUUUAUACUUUUUAUGGGCUUAUUUGAGUUGUUUAUUUCCUAGCCUCUUAGAUUAAUGUGUAAUGCAUGUGAAGCCAUAUAUAUCUUUCCAUGAACAAAACAUAUAGGUUCUGAUAUGGGGUGCUUUCAUUUUCAUUAAUUUCUAAAUUAUUUGAAAUUUCAACGUUGACAUUUUCUUUAAGCAAUGAAUUAUUUAGAAGUGACUUAAAAUAUCUAGAUGCCUAGAUUCAAUUAAAAAAAAUCUAGUUUCAGGGCACCUGGAUGGUUCAGUCAGUUCAGCAUCUGACUCUUGAUUUCAGCUCAGGUCAUGAUUUCGUGGCUUGUGAGUUUGACCUUCAUUUCAGGUUCUGUGCUGACAGUGCAUGGAGCCUGCUUGGUAUUCUGUCUCCCUCUUUCUCUGCCCCUCCCCUGCUUGCUCUCUAUAUCUCUUUCAAAAUAAAUAAAAAUAAACUUAAAAAUUUUUUUUUCUAGUUUUUAUACACUAUUUUCAAUUAAGUGGUCUAUAUAUUUCUAUGUAUCUUCUUUGUUUAAAAGUUUUUAACAUUUAUUUAUUUUUGAGAGAGAGAGGGAAUGAGUGUGAGCAGGGGAGGGUCAGAGAGAGAGACCAAAACACAGAAUCUGAAGCAGGCUCCAGGCUCCAGCUGUCAGCACAGAGCCCAACAUGGGGCUUGAACUCAAGAACUGUGAGAUCAUGACCUGAGCAGAAGUUGGAUGCUUAACCGACUGAGCCACUCAGGUGCCCCUCUACAUGUCUUUUUAAAAAAAGAUUAUUGUAAUUUCCUUUCUGACCUUCUAUAGGAUCAAUUUUUAUAAAUUUUAACUGAGUAAAAUGAACAAAUUGUGUAUUCUCUAUUGAGUAUGAGUUCUAUGCACAUCUAUUAGCAUCAAUUUGUUAACUAUAUUAUUUAAGUCCUCUGUAUUUUUACUCACGGUACAUCGUAGUGGGAGACUUUAACAGACCUCUCAGAUGUGGAUUUGCUAAUUUCCUUUUGUGAUUUUACCAAUUUUUCAUGUACUCCAAAAUGAUGUUAGGAGCAUUUAAGUUCAUGAUUAUUAGAUCUUCCUGGUGAAUUAUUUAAAAUGUGAAAUAUCCUUUUUUAAACUUGUAAUCUUUUUGACUUUCGAUUCUGUCGUGUGUGAUACUGAUGCCGCUGUUAGCAACUUUCCGUUCGUGGUUGCCAGGAAUAUGUUUUCAAGCCUAGAGUAAUCACAGUUUUGGCUUUUCCUGGUAAGCUGCACGUGGCUGGAUUCUUAAAAUCCAACCGAUUUUACCUUUUAUAAAACAGACUAAUCCAGUUCAUAUGUAUCAUUAUUUUGGAUGUAUUUAGACUUAUUCCUGCCAUGUCAUUUUGUGUUGCAGUUUAACAUCCUUUCUCUCAUUUCCGCUUCAGCCUUUCCACGGAUGGCUGGGAUUUCCUUUGUUCCUCUUUUCAUUUACUGGUUUGAAAACCAUACACAUUUUAUUUUUAUGCUUCUAAGAGGUUACACUUAAAUUUUUAUCAUUAGUGUUUAAAUUUAUAUUUUUCUAACAGCGUGAGGCUACUCACUACCUACUUUUUUUUAAUUCUUUUUUUUAACUUUUAACUUGUUUUAUUUUUUAUUUUUUAAAAUUUACUUCCAAAUUAGUUAGCAUAGAGUGCAACAAUGAUUUCAGGAGUAGAUUCCUUAGGGCCCCUUACCCAUUUAGCCCAUCCCCCCUCCCACAACCCCUCCAGUAACUCUCUGUUUGUUCUCCAUAUUUAUGAGUCUCUUCUGUUUUGUCCCCCUCCUUGUUUUUAUAUUAUUUUUGUUUCCCUUCCCUUAUGUUCAUCUGUUUGUCUCUUAAAGUCUUCAUAUGAGUGAAGUCAUAUGAUUUUUGUUUUUCUUUGACUGACUAAUUUCACUUAGCAUAAUACCCUCCAGUUUCAUCCACGUAGUUGCAAAUGGCAAGAUUUCAUUCUUUUUGGUUGCCGAGUAAUACUCCAUCAUAUAUAUAUAUAUAUAUAUAUACCACAUCUUCUUUGUCCAUUCAUCCAUCAAUGGACAUUUGGGCUCUUUCCAUACUUUGGCUAUUGUAGAUAGUGCUGCUAUAAACAUGGGGGUGCAUGUGUUCCUUCGAAACAGCACACCUGUAUCCCUGGAUAAAUGCCUAGUAGGACAAUUGCUGGGUUGUAGGAUAGUUCUAUUUUUAGUUGUCUAAGGAACCUCCAUAAUGUUUUCCAGAGUGGCUGCACCAGCUUGCAUUCCCAUACCUACUAAUAGCUUUUGACAAAUCUUCAAAUACUUUUAUUUUCCUGAAUUCUUCAUUAGCAUCCCCGCUUCCAUCUUCUAUAUCCCAUGUUGACAUAAUCUGAAUUUUGACACCAGAAUUUUGUUUUUAAAAAAUAAUUUUAGGGGAACCUGGGUCGCUCAGCCAGUUAAGCAUCCAUCCGACUCUUGAUUUCGGCUUAGGUCAUAAUCACAGGGUCGUGGGAUUGAGCCCUAUGUUGGGAUCCACGCUGAACAUGGAGCCUGCUUGGGAUUCUCUCUCCUUCUCUCUCUCUGACCUUCCCCUGCCAAAUAAAUUAAUUAAAAAAUAAAAAAAAAUUAUAAUUAUGUCUCAUAGAAAAAGUAGUUGUAUUAUUUUCCUGCAGCUACUUCAGCUCGUUGUUAAAUCUUGGAUUCAUUUUCCUGUAGAGUCUCUAAUAGUUCUCUUAGCUUUCAGACAGGAUCUAUUGAGUUAUUAAAACUCUGACUUCCUGGGUAUUUGAAAAAAAUCUUAUAUUGUUCUCACAUUUGAUUAAUAUUAUGUCUGAAUAUAGAAAUUUAGAUUUGAACUUCUUUUCUUUCAGUGAAGAUAUUAUCAAAUGUCUUUUCUUCAUCCAAUACUGUUGAUGAAACACCUAAUGUCAAAUCUGAUGAGAAUGACUGUGAAUAGUCACUUUAUCACCCUCUCUGGAAGCUUCGGCAACUUCUCUUCACCCUCGUAGCUAUCCUCAUAGCUUAGAAUGUUGGCUAAUAUUCUGAAUUGUCACUACCUUUGUAAUUGGCUUUUUUGUGUGUGUGUGUGUGUGUUUAUUUUAAUCCUGCUCUAUAUUUGAAGGACCAUUUCAAUCUGAAGAUUUAUGCUUCUUCAACUGUAAGAAGAAAUUCCAUUAUUUUUUUUAGAUUUUAUCUCUCUUUUAUCCUCAUUAUUCUCUAUUAGAUAGAUGCUAUGACAUACAGAACUUUCCUCCAUAUAUCUUCAAGUUUUCAACUUUUCUUCACCUUGUGCUUCAUUCCAGAUAUCUCAUUUCCUUCUCAGCUGGGUCCAGUCUUCUAAUCCUAUCUACUGAAUUUUUUAUUUCAGUAAUUACAUUUUUUUUUAUUUCUAAGGUUUAUGUUUGGUUUGUUUUACACCAGACUGUUCCUGAUUGUCACUUCUUCUUAUCACUCUAUUAAUUUUUCAUAAUCGUAAUUCUUCUGUUGGCUUGUUAUCUAUUUUUCAUGGUGGCCUCAUGUCAGAUGUUGGUGAUUUUGGCUAUGGGCUCAUCUUUGUGGUUUGGAUACCCUGUUGGCGUCUAUACUUCUAGUCCCAUGGCCAGCCAUCAGGGAGGUAUUGGGGUAGCUACUGAGGUUUGUGCUCCAUAAUGUUUUCUGUGAGAAUAGGAGAAAGGCUGUGUGUGUGUGCUGGGUAGGAUGUCUUAGAAGCCAAUAUUCUGGGCUUAGUCAUUCCAUCUGGGCAUUUUCAGGUUCUACUCUCCUUGAGCAUGGCCCCUGCCCAAGAAUAGGCCUGAAUGGAUGCGGAGGAGGACAGCGGGCUGCACCAGGCACAACCAGUGUGGGUACCCAACUCCUUUCCCUGUCAUUUGCAUCGAAUGCCUCCUCUCGGAGCCUGGCUUCCACCACCUGGAGGCAUGAGAUGGGCUUGGUGAUGCCCCUAUCUUCUGUGGCAUACUUUCCAAAAAGCUUCAGAACAAAUUCUAGGCUGCUGUUACCUUCUUCAAACUAAUCUGGUGUAUUUUUAGACCCUCAGGAAUUUUUCAUAAUUUUGAUUAGCUAAAAAUUUAUCUUUGAAUUUACAGAGUAAGGUAUGUAUUCUCAUACUCAAAAAAGAAAUGUAAGGCUUAGAGUAGAAAUAUAGAGAGCAUUGGGGAAGGAGAGAACAUCGCUGUCUGCAAUUAGUUUCCUAUCUGGAAGGCAAAGCUUCCACUUUUACUUUGGGUUGUUUGCCUUUUUCUCAUCUAUACUAGAGACAGUAAGCAAUUGUCACUUAUAUUGUAAAUAUUUGUUACAAAUGCCUUUUAAUUUUGCUUAUGGUCACUUCUGAGAUACAGAAAUUUUAUGUUUUUAUGAGGACAAACCUGUCCAUUUUUUACUCUAAGAUUUCUGGAUGUUGUGUAAUGCUCAGGAGGCCUUCCUAAUACAUAAUUGAAACCUAUUUUUAUUAUAGUGCCUUUUAAUAUUUCAUGGUUCAAUCUUUUGUGAUUAGAUAUUUCAUGUUUAGGUAUGGAUUCAUCAGGGUUUUAAUUUUGUGUUUCGUGUGAGAUCUGAUGUGUGUCCCAUUCCCUCUUUUCUAAGAUGAAAAUUUUAUUGCUAAUUUCCUUCCUUGCUCCGUUACCUUGUUUUGGCUGGGUGGGUGUGCAGGGGCAGUUAACAUUUUUUAGUGCAUAGGUCAUCAAACCAUAAUGAACCAAACUGGUAUUUGAUGGAUGGACUGUACAACACUCAGAGUUCUUGAACUUUGAGAUGAAUGUAGUACCUGCCUGGAAUUUGGGGAGGAGACGAGUGUGAAGAAAUGUAGGUACAUGAAGCCAGAGAAGCUGACUGUGGCAGAGAGCACCAUCCACUGAAAUGAUUUUCCGGUUUUCCCCUUGGACACAUAACUAGAGUUCAUCUCCCUGCCCCUGUCUCUACAUAACUGGGUGACUAAGUUCUCUCCAGUACAGUGUGAACAGUCUUCAUGCCAAGCCCAUAAAAACCUCUCAUUUGUACUCCUUCUUGAAGCCUGGAUAUAUAGGUGAUGAGGUUCUAGGAGAUGGGGCCACAAGAUGAAAGGAUUUUAAAUACGGACAAGGCCGUGUGGAGGAGAGUUGCCUCCUGGCCAGAAACAUUCUCCUUGGACUAAUACUGAAGUGAGAAAUAAGCUACUUUGGUAUCUGCCCAAAUAAGACAGGGGAUUUAAGUUUCUGGAAGAUAUGCUGUAUUGAGUUAGGGAAGUUCCUUCCAUUCUUGACUUACUGUUGUUUUAAUCAGGAGAGGGUACUGAUUUAUUUUAUUUCUUAUUUUUAUUUUUUUAACGUUUAUUCAUUUUUUUUGAGAGAUAGAGACAGUGUGAGUGGGGGAGGGGCAGAGAGGGGGAAACAGAAUCCGAAGCAGGCUCCAGGCUCCGAGCUGUCAGCACAGAGCCUGAUGCGGAGCUUGAACUCACAGAUGGCGAGAUCAUGACCUGAGCUGAAGUUGGAUGCUUAACUGACUGAGCCACCCAGGUGCCCCUUAUUUUAUUUUAUUUUUUUAAGGUUUAUUUAUUUUUGAGAGAGACAUAGAGAGAGAGAGAGACAGAGAGAGAGAGAGAGAGAGAGAGAGAGAGAGAGAGAUUGAUUGGAGGGGUAGAGAGAGAGGGAGAUACAGAAUCUGAAGCAGGCUCCAGGCUCCAGGCUGUCAGCACAGAGCCGGAUGCUGGGCUCGAACUCAUGGACCACAAGAUCAUGACCUGAGCCAAAGUUGUAUGCCUACCUGACUAAGCCACCCAGGCACCCCUGUUGUUUUAUUUAAAAAAAUCUGACAACUACUUAACUCUAGAGAAAAAACUGAUGGUUACUCCAGAGUAUCAUAGAAAUAUUAUUAUGCUUAAAUCCCCCAGUGUAAUAAAUUAUAAUUAUUUUGUUGAGUUUUGAUUUAACAAUGUCACCAUUUUCUAAUUUAUUUAUAUUUGCUUUUAUUUUUAUGAAUUCCUUCUACUUGGUUUUAUUUUGUUUUCUUUUUCUAGUAUCUUGAUUGCUGUUAAUUUUUUGUUUGUUUAAUUAGAAAGGUAUUCAGGGGUAAGAAGUUUCCUAUAUUCCAUGAGUACUGAUUCAUAAUAUUCUUUUAUUAUUUGCUAACUGGUGUGUUAAUUCUUAAAGUUCUCCAUUAAGUGAUUUCUGUAAUAAACACUGAAAUUGUGUGCCUUAUACCUGUCACUGACCAGCAGGAUUUUGGAGUGUUCUGGGCCAUACUUUACUUUUUAUAACUGAUAUCAGGGUAAUGAAUGAGGAGCCAAAGCAAUCCCACAUUCCUCUAUAAUAUGUUUGGUAUUUUUGAGGUAGGGUUUUACCCAUGCAAGUCUCUUUAUAAGUAAUCUAUUUCUUUUUCAGUAUUAAUUGGAAAAAUGUACAUAUUGAACAAUAGCUGUAUUAAAACUUUUGAAUUCUAAAAUAAUAAAAAAUAUGAAAGCCUUAAGCUAUGAAAAUUGGUAUAUUUCUGUCCUUAAAUAUUUUAAUGCCUAUAGGUGAAAAUUAAGUAUCUUAUUAAUAUGACAUGGUGAUUUAGGUUUCUUUAUUAUGUUUAUCUUUAGAAUUAGUUGCUGGGUGGAAACUUAGUAUGACCAUAAAGUAACCUUUACAUGAUUUGCUAUGGGGAUUUAAAGAUGCAUUUUCUUUUGUCCCCUCUGAUCACCUCCUUAUUAAAAUCAAAGUAACAUCUUUUUAUGCAUAGUGAAUUUGUUCCUUAGGGGACUAUCAAGUAUCAUCUUUGGUCUAUAUUACUGCACUUUAGAAUAUGGACUCCAGUGCUAACAUUUAUCAGCUCUGUGACAUUUGGCAAGUUUCUUAUUCUCUCUGUGCUUCCGUUUCCUCAGAUAUAAAGUGGGGAUAACCAGGGUCUCUGCCUCAUAGGAUUUUCCCAAGGGUUAAGAGUUCAAAAUUUAAAGUUCUUAGAAUAGUCCUGGGGAUGAUGUUAGUUCUAUGUACGUUAGCUAUUUUUAUUAUAAUCUAGAAGCAAUCACAGCUAGCUUCUCUAAAAACUUUUUUUUUUUUUUUUUUGCUAAUACUCUCAUUAUUAAAGUGCCCUUUAAGUUUAAGGGAAAUUAUAUAAACUGUCACAAUCUUAUCACAGACCCAGGAUUUAGGUAUUGUUAUGCUAUAUGAGAAGCUAAGAGUGUGAAAUAAUUUUGAGGUUCACAUGGUAAAACGUGACGGAAUUGGGAUUUGAACUUAUGUCUGUCACUGAAGUCCACACGCUUCGCAUUAUAACACUCAGCCUGAUGUGACCACUGUCUAUAAAAUCCAGCACCAUAAACUUUUCCUGUCAUUACCAAACCAGAGCUUCAUCUUUUUUGGUAUGCCAAAAAGUUUGUACUUAUAGCACCGAGGUAGUAUGUCUGUAGUUCUUUUAAGACAGUAGAUAGCCCAGCACUGUUGACCUGGAGUAGUGCUCACACUAGCUCUGCCUGAUGAAGGACAUUCACUCUUUAGAACCACAGAGAGGAGAAUGCAGACAUUAAUGGUUUACUGCUGCUUAUCUUAGUUAACCCCAGAUAAUUUGUCAAUCAGUAUCUAGCCUUUUGAUUUUCUCUAUGUCAUAACUCUCCCAGCCCCUGGUUUCAAAUGGGUGUUGAAGAUUGCCUGUCUCUAACUCUCUGGGCAGUCUCUUGGCAGGAAGGCACUACACAAUAUCACACGGGUUCCUGGAGUUCAUGUAGGAACAGGAGGAUAAUGGGUGCUUUCUGAGGGAGAGAUAGGAGAGGUAGUUGCUGGGAAAAUGCGUCCUAGGCCUGAAAAUAAUUAAGGCUUUGAUUGUGGCCAUUCAAAAACCUACGCCCAGACUACGUCGGCACCUCCAUGACAAGCCAGCAUUCUCUGGCCCUUCUGAUCCCACAUGCUCACUAGUGCCUCCUUCCACCUCUCAGAGCAGCCUCCCAUUACACCAUUACACAGUGCUGCCCAUUGGACUGGAUUGUGUUAUGUAUUGUCCAGUCAGUCUCUCCAACACAAUAGUAUCCCCCAUAUCCUCUGCCAAGUGGGGACCGUGUAGUGACCAUUAUCUUCUUUUUUUUCAUUAUGCUAAAAUAUACAUAACAUAAAACUUAACCUUUUAACCAUUUUUCAGUAUACAGUUCAGUGGCAUUAAGUACAUUUACACUACUGCGCAACUAAUCACCACCAUCCAUCUCAAGAACUUGUUCGUUAUCCCAGAAUGAAACUCUGUACGCUUUAAACGACAACUCCCCAGGAUCCCCCUCCCCCAUCCCUGCAGUCAGCAUUCUACUUUCUGUUUCCAUUAGUUUGACUACACAUAUGCAAGUGGCGCCAGUCAUGCGAUCUUUGUCCUUUUGUGUCUGCCUUCUUUCACUUUGCAUAAUGUCUUUGGGGUUCACCCAUGUUGUAGCAUGUGUCAGGACUUCCUUCCUUUUUAAGGAUAAAUAAUAUUCCAUUAUGUGUAUACACUGUAUUUUGCUUGUCCAUUCAUCCAUGGUGGACAUUUGGGUUUUUUUUCCCACUUUUGACUAUGGGGAAUAACACUGCUAUAAAUGUUUGUGUGCAAGUAAGUGUCCGUUGAACCCUUGCAUUCAGUUCUUUGGGGGUAUAUGACCAGUAGCAGAAUUGUUCGAUCAUAUGGUAAUUCUGUGUUUAAUUUUUUUGAGGAGGCUCUAUGCUAUUUUCCACGAUGUGGCACCAUUUUACAUCCUCACCAGCAAAACACAGGUUUCUUUCUGAUUUCUCUACAUCCUCCCAACAUUAUUUUACCAUUAUUCUGAUUUAAUCCUCAUGACAGGUGAAUAACAAUUACUCUAUCUGGAAUCUUUAUUGUACUUCACAAUUUGUUUUUGCAUAUAUGAGCCUUUGAACCUUUAUAAUAAUCUUUGGUGUAAGUAUUAUAUCUGUAUAAUUAUAUAUAAGUCAUAUAUAAUUAUAUAAAUAUAUAUAAUUUCUAUAUAAUUAUAUAGAAAUUGAUGUUUGGAGGUGUUUCAAGAUCACCCAAGGUCACAAAACUAAUAUGUGGAAAAGUCAAAAAUAUGAACUUUUUAUUCCUGAUUCUUUUUAUUAUUUGGAGAAUUAAACAGACAAUACUCUGUUCACUGAAAUCAAAGCAAAAGGAAAACUCACACAUUGAGAAAAUAUUCCCAAAAAGGAUACCUACUAUUCUCCUAUAUGUCCUAAGGUAUUAAAGAAAAUAAAUGGCUUAAAUAAGUGGCAGAAAGGAUUUAGGUUAGAUAUUAACUGGGUGGCUGAUGUUGGUGAGACAUUGAAAAAGAUUACCAAAAGAUACUUUGAGAUAAUUAAAGUCCUGAAAAAUGCUAUGCGCAUUGGAUUCCAUCCCAGUAUGUGCCUGAGGGUGCAGGAAGUGAUUCAGUGAAUCCUUGUUAAUUAUUUGAAAGCAGGGGGAUAAACUGGCUGUCUUCACAUAGUUUCUUUGAGUGAAUUCUCUGAUUCUACAGCAAAGAUUCUACUGAAUGCAUCUGUACUACUCAGGAGUGGUGUUCUUUGGUGUUUGGGGAUAGAUCUUUGUUUUCUUGACCCCUUCAUCCUUGCUCUCUGGAGAAUGCAGGCUCCCUCACUCAAUUCCAUUUCAGAACCUUCAUUCAUUCAGUCCUCUGGGGAGAAGUCUGAUAUGACCUGACUCACCUGGAGUCUUGAGCUACUACUGGGGCAGUUAACUUUCUACACCACUGUUGGUUUGGGUUCACUCUGCUCCCCAGGGAGAUUUGAAGAAGAUGAAAUUUUUGCCCUGAGAUUAAAGGGGACAGUUUCAGUGGGUUUAUGGUUUGUCAGUGUUGUAGGAUAAAGAAGAGACAAGGUAGCUGGUUUAAGACAGUAAAUAGCCUAGCUUUUCCAACGGGCCAGCACUGUUGACAUGGAGUAGUAAUCACACUGCUCCCUGCCUGAUGCAGGACAUUUAGUCUUUAGAACCACGGAGCAGAGAAUGCAGAGCAGGUGAGAUUUGCUGGUGAUGACCCCAUGCAACCAACUCUGUCACUGUGCAGAUGAAAAAGCAGAAAGAUGAAAAGAUGAAAAAGGAGAGGUAUCAAUUAUUUUUCUUUUACAUUUCAGAUUUGGAAAUUGAAGAAUGCAAUGGAAAACAACAAGAAAAAGGCAAGGGUGUGUACCCAUCAAUCCCAGAUGCAGGGAGACAUUCCUUCUGAGUAGCCGUGCCUUCAGAUGCCCCAUAGGGUCUGCAGAGUUUACAGAACAAUUUAAGAACACUCGAGACCAAAUAUAAUCUCAAUAAACACAUGCAAUUAAGGCCAACAGAACCUGGCUUAGUACUUAGCUUAUCCUCCUUGUCACCUUCAAGGCCCAGAUAACUUCACAUAAUGUUAGGAAACAACUUCCUUGAUCUGCCUCUUUUCCUCUGAGAGCAGUUGGCAGCUUCUGUAGGGAUCCCUGAUCAGUGCAAGAUCAACACAAAUCCAUGAACCUCAAUCACUCUGUUUUCACCCACUCUAGAUUGCUUUCUCUCUAAUUUAAUUGCUUGAAUUUCAGUGUCUGUGAUAAGAACUCAGGGGUAAUAUCACACACCUCUGGAAUCUCUCCACCGAUUAUGGGCUGUGCCCUGCAAGCGAGGAUAGCAGGAUUUGGCCAGUUAUGAGUACAGGGUUCUCUCGGCACUGCCAGGAUCUUUAUAGAGAAUGUCAUGCUAUGCACACUCCCCUGAAGCUGGCUCGAUUUCACAAUUUUUCACACCUAUUGUGAUGUAACCCUAUCUCGAACAAGGUCCCUGUCCAAGUAUGCUUUGAUGUUUUAUGUAAUAAGUUGCAGAAUUCAGGAUUUAAACAUCAAAAGUAGAAAUCCACACUUUUCUUUUUUAUUCUGUAAGAUUUAGCAUGUUCAUUUUUCUUUAAUCACAACAGAGCAUGGUGAACAAAAUGUAUUGUGGUGGAUUAUGAAAAUAUUUUUCUUUUUCCCUAUAUUGUACACCUGAAACUAAUAUUAUACUGUAUGUUAACUAAAGGGAAUUUAAAUAAAAACUUAAAAAAAUUUAUACAAUGAAAAUUUAUUAUAUUUAUGAAUCAGAUCAAUGUUUUAAAGAAUCUUUCCAGGUGUAGUGGGAGUUGUGGGACCUCUGAGGGGUUUUGUGACAUUGGAUCUUAGUCAUUCCAUCACUUCUAUGAUGAAGUGAAACACUAUGACUUCCAGGUUGUUGGCUACGUUGAGGUUUUAUGGCUGUAUGAAAGGCCUAAAUUCGUCAUCAUUUAACAUGGAUCUGUAGAGCCUGGGGGAUGAUUCUGAUACUAGCUUUAUUGUUUCAAAACCUGGGAUUUGGAGCUGGAAUGUGCCAAGAAAUCUCUACUUGAGUUAAAGGGAAAGCAGGUGGUCCUUCAGGAGGGGAGGGGGUGUGUGUGUUAUGAACUCCCUUGUGGUUUCUGCUUCUUGGGUAUUUUCCUCAGUGUGACUAACUAAAAUGCUCUUUGUUCUUUGUUCCAGAGUCAGAGACAUCCCUGCCACGCGGCACAGAGAUUUAUAACUCUGAGCAAAGGUUUCAACAAAUACUAUUUCUUUACUCCAAAGUCCAUCUAUGUGUGCUUCCUGAAAUAAAGAACAGAGCAUUUGUGUCUUCUGGUCUCUAAUCCCAGGAGCCUUAGCAGCAGAGGCUGGGGGAGUUCCAAAAGGUCUUCUUAUAACUCUGGAGAUAAUGACUGGCUCAAACAAGCUGGCGCCGUGUGGGGACACCCAUAGACUUUAUUUAUCUCUCUCUGUCUCUUUUUUUUUCAGGCUGACAUAGUGUCUGCACUGACAUACCCAGUCCAGAAAAAAGAAACUGUGUCUGUUAUAACUUUUACUUAAGUGGUAUAAGUGGAAAGAUCAUAACGCAAAGAUUUGUUGAAAACACACUUCUUAUCCAGACAAUCCAUUGUAAUGUUUCAAUUAAAAAGUUCUACUCACAGAAAGAGAUUUAAAAAAAAAAAGAAGAAGGACAAGAUCUGGGAUUAAGUUUAACGACCUGGAACAGGCAAAGAACAUAAUAAAAUUUCGGAUUCGGUAUCUGGGAUGUGGGUAUAUGAUCUGAGAUAUAAAUGAGACUCGUCGAUGGCUAUUAUUACCCUGCCCCCACCACAUCCCCUCCCAUGAAGAUAGGCAACAGGGAAGGUGUUUAAAUUCUUUCAGGGCCUAUGGUUGUCACUGAGCAAUUUACUUCUUUGGUAUCUCACAUACAGAUGGCUGGUAUAACACACAAAGCUCACCUGGGUGCCAGACUGGGGAAGUGUAGUUCAAAUAUCUCCAAUCCAUGUGACAAUGUUAUCUGAAAAACAUGUGACUUGAAGCCAGUGUAAUGACACUAAACCCACUCUAGUGCACAUUUUUGUAUAAGGCAUCCAUUUUGGAGCCCAGACCCAAUGCUAGUAGAACUCAGUAUUACAUUACAGUCUGAUUUACCACAAGGUCUGGCGGCAGAGUCCAGGUAGGGUAAUCUUGGCAUUACCUAAUCUGGGAAGGAGCCAACUGGCCUAUGGAAUACCUGAAAAUGAAACACUACCAGAGAUGGGGAAGUAUAUCCACCUUCAAAACUGUUAAGACACUCUUGAAAACUGAAAACGACACAAAUGCCAACAAUGUCUUGGUUCCUGUGAAGUUCACUGUCUAGUAAUAAAAGCAGAUAAAAAAUACCAAUCUUAAAUAAUUUAAGUGGUAUACUAAGGGUAUAUCCAGGGCACUGUCAGAACACAGAAGAGGGACACACUUAUCCAGCCAGACAAUGAGGACCAGGGAAGGUUGCCACUAUAUCUAGUUAUAAGAAGUUCAGAGUACAGUUAAUGCAUCUUGUCUUGAAGGUGACACUUGUCCUCCAAAUAACUCAGACUCUUCCCAGAACCAUUCCAAAGGACUUAGCUCUUCCCAUAAAUGCUCUAUGUAUUUAUUCAUCUCCAUCCUCAGUGAAUGGAAGAAAGGUCAGAAAUGUGUCACUGCUUUGUAACCUAAGGUCUUCUGCCUUGUCUACUGAAUGAGUUACUGAAUUAAUAUUCCUCCCUACACAAAUUUUUCUUUAAAAAGUCUGUCCUUUCCUGCCUUGCAGUCUGAGCCCCUACUUCUCUGUACAUAAUUCUUCACAGAUCUCUAUCUAACCACUUAGACAAACUGUUUAACUUCAUUUGACAUUAUUUUUUCUGGAAGAGUAAAGCAAAAUUGCCUUAGAUAGAUUUUUUUUGGUUUUACAUCAUGAAAAAUUUUACCCCACUUGCUAUUUGCUGUUUUCCUUUUCCCAUCUUCUGCAUUCUUCCAGGAGGCCUCCUGAAUAGUCCAUGCUUAAGCUAAAGAAGACUGACAGUUAUUUUCAGUACCAAGUCUCACCUAAUAACGAAAAACCUAGGCACAUUUUUAUUUCCUGUAAAGUUAGCUGAGUCAGGUGAGCUGAAAAUCAGAGAACGGGCUCUUUCUGGGGCUUCCGGGAAAACUCAAGGCCCUAAAAGUGAAUGUUCUCUUCUAAUUGCCUGACAGAGCUAUUUAACAUCCAUGACUUAGCGUUUUACAUCCUGGACAGGGUCUGACCAGCCUGACUUAAUGACAAAGUUAGUUUUGAAAGCCUCUUAUCCAUUUGUCUUUUCUCAUUGGCAAUGUCCAUGAGUCCAUUAUUCCUACGGACUAGAGAGGAACUCAGUUAGUGGCUGGCUAGGAUUUUGUAGUGUAUCCUCUGAAUGCAUUCACUGUCCUACAGUGGGUCUCAGGGUGUGGAAUGAUUUGUUAUUGAGUAAGGGCCAUGCUUAAAGUUUUCCAGCCCGCGUUUGGAUGCAAUGCAGGGUCACUUCAAUUACCUUGGAAAUGAGAGUGCUGGUAACCAGUGUAGAGACUAUUUUGGAAUAAGAUAAUAACAUUAUCUAAAGCCACUUCCAGUUUGAUAAUAAAUAUCAUGUACUGAUUGAUAUAAUGGUGCAGAUUUUCUUGUUAGAUCUGCUUAUGGAGUGAAUUACACCAACAGAGGUUUUAACAACAUUGUUGAAAUACAAUUCCCAUACCAUGCAAUUCACCCAAUUAAAGUGUAUAAUUCAAUAGAUUUAGUAUAAUCACAGAAUUGUAUAGUCAUCACCACAAUCUACUUUUAAAACAUUUUCAUCACACCAAAAAGAAACCCCAUAAUCAUUAGCUAUAACCAACCAAUGUCCUCAUUUCAUGCCAGCCCUAGAUAACUGCUAAACUACUUUCUGUAUCUAUAGAUGCGUCUGUUACAGACAUUUCAUGUAAGUGGAAUCAUAUAGUAUGUGGUCUUCUGUGACUGGCUUAUUUAAUUUAGCAUAAUGUUUUUAAGGUUCAUCCUGUUGUAGAAUAUAUCAGGUCUUCAUUCCUUGUUAUUGCCAGAUAAUAUUCCAUUGAUGCAUAUACAUUUGUUUAUUCAUUCAUCUUUUGUUAGACAUUUGGAUUGUUUCCACUUUUUGGCCAUUAUGAAUAAUGCAGCUAGGCAGUGUUGUUUACAAAAGCCAAUACAUGAAAACAAUCUGACUGUCCAUGGACAGAUGAAUGGGUAAUGACGAUGUGGUAAAUCUACAAUGUAAUCUUAUUCAGCCAUAAAAAAGGAAAUCCUGUCAUUUGCAACAACAUGGAUGAACCAAGGACAUUAUGCUAAGUAAAAUAAGUCGGACAGAGAAAAAUAAAUACUGUAUGAUCUCAGAUACAUGUGGAAUCUGAAAAAACAAAAAGAAACUCAUAGGAAAAGGAAAGAUUUGUUGGUUACCAGAGGUGGAAGGGGGAUCGAAAGAAGGUCAAAAGGUACAAACUUCCAGUUAUAAGAUAAGUAAGUACUAGGGAUGUAAUGUACAACAUGAUGACUAUCAUUAACACUAAUGUAUAGUAUAUAUGGAAGUGGUUAAGAGAAUAAAUGCUAAGAGUUCCCAUCACAAGGAAAACACUUUUUUCUUUCUCAUGGUUUUUUUUUUUUUUUUUGUGAUUAUAUGAGACAAUGGAUGUUAACUAAGCUUAUAAUGGUAACCAUUUAACCACAUAUGUAAGUCAAAUCAUUGUACUCUAUACCUUAAACUUAUACAGUGCUGUAUGUCAGUUAUAUCUCAAUAAAACUGGAAAAAAAC